GCACCCAUCAUCCCGCUGCGGUACUUCCUGAAAGUAAAACGAGAAGCUGCGCGCGCGUCUUAUUAAGCUUUAGUUUUGUUUAUAGUGAAGCUAAGAAAGUGAGAACACACUGACCCGACUGUGUGUGUGUGAGUGUGUGUGUUUUAUUCGGAAUGAGGUUAUAGAGAUAACAGUUGAGUUUAAUUCUUUCCUGCAAGCAGGCGUAAAAGUGAGGACACGCCCCUUGGUGGUGCAGCAGCAUGCAAAGAGCCAUGGAGAUGAACAACCGGAAGUGCGAGCCAAGAACCAGCGAGAAGAAAUGCUCGUGGGCGUCCUACAUGACCAACUCGUCCAUGCUGAUCGUCAUGAUCGGCCUCCCCGCCAGAGGCAAGACCUACAUGUCGAAGAAGCUGACUCGCUACCUCAACUGGAUCGGAGUGCCCACAAAAGUGUUUAACCUGGGCGAGUACCGGCGUGAGGCCGUGCGCUCAUAUAAAUCCUUCGACUUCUUCAGACACGACAAUGCCGAGGCCAUGAGGAUCAGGAAAAAGUGCGCUCUCGUGGCUCUGCAGGACGUGAAGAGUUACCUAAACGACGAGGGCGGACAGAUCGCCGUGUUUGAUGCCACGAACACGACUCGAGAGAGGCGAGAUCUCAUCCUGGAGUUCGCCCAGGAGAACCAGUAUAAGGUGUUUUUUGUCGAGUCGAUCUGCGACGAUCCAGAUGUCAUCGCUGAAAAUAUAAUGGACGUGAAGGUGUCGAGUCCGGACUAUCCCAAGAGAGACCGCGAGAGCGUCAUGGAGGACUUUCUGAAGAGAAUCGAGUGCUACAAAGUCACAUAUCAGCCAUUAGACCCAGACCAACAUGACAAAGAGCGCUCUUUCAUCCAGGUGAUCAACGUAGGCCAGCGUUUCCUGGUGAACCGCGUGCAGGAUUACAUCCAGAGCAAGAUCGUGUACUACCUAAUGAAUAUCCAGGUGCACAAACACACCAUCUACUUCUGCCGUCAUGGAGAGAAUGAACACAACGUGCAGCGUCUGAUCGGGGGCGACUCGGGCCUGUCCGCUCACGGGAAAGAGUUUGCUGUGGCUCUGCGAAAUUUCGUAGUGGACCAGCAGCUGGUGGAUCUGAAGGUGUGGACGAGCCAGCUGAAGUGCACCAUCCAGACGGCCGAGGCUCUAGGCGUUCCAUACGAACAGUGGAAAAUCCUCAACGAGAUUGAUGCUGGCAUCUGUGAGGAAAUGUCCUACGACAUGAUCAAGCAGAAGUAUCCUGAAGAAUUUGCUUUGAGAGAUCAGGACAAAUAUAAUUACCGCUACUCAGGAGGGGAGUCAUACCAGGAUCUGGUGCAGAGACUUGAGCCGGUGAUAAUGGAGCUGGAGAGGCAGGGCAACGUGCUGGUCAUCAGUCACCAGGCCGUCAUGAGAUGCCUGCUCGCAUACUUCUUGGACAUCAGCGCUGAUGACUUGCCUUAUCUGAGAUGUCCUCUUCAUGUGGUGCUGAAACUCACCCCUGUGGCUUACGGUUGUAAAGUGGACAUGUUCGACCUGAAAGUUGAAGCUGUGAACACACACCGGAACAGACCACUCGCCAAUAGCAAACAGGAAGUGAUGGUGAGGAGGAACAGCUUCACUCCCAUGUCCAGUCAGGACCAGGUGAAGCGGCCGCGGGUCUUCAGCGUCGGAAACCCACCCUGCACCCCUCUGCCUCCGUCGCUGAGCUCCACAGACGUCUUUGAGGCGCAGGAGAACGACGAACUCGCUGAGAAACAAGUUUGAUUUCUUACUCUGUAUGCCUACACCUAUACGUGUAUACACGAGAGAAUGACAAGCACACACACACACGUGCGUGCAAAGAUGCAGAUUACAUUGUUACAUUUGUAUUUUUGCUACAUUUUCUCCCAGCAUUUUGUUGCUAUUUAUCUUUAAUUACUCUCCUUCGCACGUCCAGUUGUUAAGUGUAUAAACAACUUGGAAAACUUCUAAGUCUAUAAACAACUUACCUUCACCCGAACAGAACGCAGUUUUUCCUCUCUUUAUCCCAAAUGUAAUCAGUCUUGCGUCUAGAGGUAGUCCAUUAGCUUUGCAUUUAAACAGCACAGUUUGGUGAGGAUCCAAAGCAGAAUCAGACCCAGGCAGGAAGGAAGGAAACACUGAAUUGGUCGAGUCCUGGAGAUUGAGACGAUGGACAGAAGCGUAGACAUGCAAGGGCGUCAGUCUCUACCUGAAUGAGUCAGACUCACACCUUAAACCAUCUUGCGUCCAUAGCCAAGCCCAGAAACUCUGUGCGUGCGUGUGUGUGUGUGUGUGUCUGUCUGUCUGUCUGUCUCUCUUUAUGAUUGGCUCAAUUAAAGAAAUAUCUUUAACUUUAAUUUCUCAAUUAAAGAAAUUCAAUCAAAUCUACACACUGUUCUCAUUAGCCGACAUGUUAGCCAACACGUGUUUGGUGUCUGAGGUUUGCUACAAGACUAACAUUGCUUUUAACAAUACAUGGAGAUAAAUACAUCCACAAAUCUUCAUAUUCUUGCUUCAGACAUCGAUAUAAGCCACGUAAUCGUGUCGCAAUAGCAGAGGAAGUCUGUAUUUGUAUAACGGAUUUUUAAAAAAAGUACGACAUGCUGUCUUUGUUUAUAAACAAACCAUUUUGAAUGGUUGGGAAAGUGCUGUGAUACUACCCCAGUGUUGCUGAUUAUUUUCCUAUAACAGCAUGCUCUAGAAAGUGCUUUAGUCUUUACUUCGACUCCAGCCCUAUAGUGGAAACAGGAAGUGAUGUGGAUGAUAAUAUUUUAAAUUUCAUUCUGUUUCUAUGCACUUAUUAAUGACUGAAGAAUGAAUAUGAGCAUUUUGGCUUGUAUUCAGCUCCAGUGCAAAUCUGAAGAUGUAAUCAGACACCAGACAUGCCUUGGAUAAUCAAUUCUUUUUGCGUUAAAGGUGAAAGUCUCUUUGGAUCAGUGUUUGCCAGGAAAUUAGACAUAUAUGUCGCUGUACCUUUGUGCUCAGUGGUGAGUUGAUUGUGUGACCUUUCCUUGUUUUAUAAGGUUAUUUCAUUCCCAAAUUGAAUGAUUUAUGUGUCAUUAGGUCAGUGUAAGAGGUACUCCAACCCACUAUUGAAUCCUCAGUCUGUAACCAUGUUCAUGUGCCAUGUUCAUGUGACGCUCUAGCGGGAUAAUGAGUCAAUCAGGACGCAUGUGAGCUGCAUUACCAGUCUUGCUAAUCCUUUUGGGCACUAAUCCCAGAAACUCAGAUGAGAAUGUCUUACACAAUCAGAAUGACACAACAGUGAUGCACCUUCCUUCCAUUUACUUUAAAAAAGAAAAACAAAUGCUCAAUUUUCCUUCAGAACUGAAUCCGUCUCUUGCAUGGAUGCUGUUGAACUCUGUAUUGCUUUGUACCACUGAUAUCAUUUUCUGUGCCUUUUAACAUUAGUAAAAGGGGCGUGGCCUCUGUCCCUGCCAGUCCACCGUCUCCAUGACUGUAGUGUUGCAAUUUAACGGCAUCGUUUUUUUGACCUCAAAUCAUUCGAGCUGCAAAGUGGGGGAAAAAGAAAUUCACAAAUGUUUGUCUUUUGUUAGCAACAAACUAGCUAGUUAACGGUGAUAAGUGAUCAGUGUGAAAAGAAAUCUAAAAAGGGAAUGGAUGUAUUGUGUGAUUGCAAUUACCGACUCUUGGGGCACAAUGAAAAUAAUUAACACCCUUAAUUUUUUCCCAUCCAUCAAGCUCUUGUUCAGCAGUUUCUCCAUUCUUUUCUUCAUCGUCUGUUAGGCUUGUGUGAUACUGAUGUAAAAAUUGGCGUCUGGUAACAUAAUAUAAUAUAAUCAGCGAUAAGCGUCACUGGAUAUCGUGGCAAUCUGAUGUCUUGUAGGGACAGCCUGUAAAGGAUCUCGCUGAGUUUUUUUGUGUUUGUUGCAGCCAAAAAUGCUCGAUUGUGCUGCAGCUUUUUUUUCUUCUCAAGAUUUGCAAUGCAAUUCCUGGAGUUUUUUGGUAGAAAACUACUCGAAUUGGCGAAAUCGCAAUCGCAGACAAAAGUCUUUCGCUGUGAUAUUUUUUUUGCUUAACGAGACCUUUUAGCUGUACUCACGUUCGACGCACGUGAAUCGAAGAAUGCAUGUCGUGAUGGCGUCACAUAACGUGUCUUGGCCCAAAUCUGCGGUACUUUAGAAAACUUUAGAUACUUUAGUAUUGCAGAGUUUCUUGAUUUUGCGUUAAUUCCUGCGAUCGUGAAAUCCUCGAGGGACCUUGUAGGGACGAUAAUAUUGUUGUAUUGCACAAGCCUUUUGUCUGUCUGGUGAUGGAACAUCGAGGUAAUAUUAUAUCGUAUUAUAUGUUAUAUUGUACUUUCCCAGCACUGUUCUGAUCUCUGUAAACACUGGAUUUUGUGUCUGUCAUAUACAACCACCAGUACCACCGUCCUCACUCACAGGAAGUGUAGAAAUGUAGAUAGUGUCAUCAAAAUGUCAGUGGGAAUAAACUUUUACUUUCUUGCAAGUUAAUUUAAAUGCCUUACUGGAAUACCAGCCUCAAGCCAUAAUUUUAUUGAAUGUUUUAUUAGGAGCCAACCACCGCAGGUGCGUAGGCACCUAUAGUUUUUAUUUUACACGCUGACUGUAAUUUCUUUCUCGGUUGUUUUGCUCAGAUAUAUUUAUUGCACAUUCUGUGGUUUUCUCAUUUUAUUACUUUUUGAGGAUUAAAGUGCCGUGGCUUUUCAAGUA